AUGAUGCGCCUCCUCACCGGCGCCGGCACCAACGCCGAGUUCAGGUUCUGCCCGCGCUCCGUCGACGCCUUCGGCUCCACCGUCAUCGCCGAGGGGAGCGCCGGCCAGCUCCUCUACUGGGUGCACGCCUGGACCGUCGGGCCCGAUGGGGUGAUCACCCAGCUCAGGGAGUACUUCAACACCGACCUCACCGUCACCCGCCUCUCCGCCGCGGCGGCCACCAACAACGCCAGCGCGGGCUCCCCUAGCCACUCCUCCUCUUCCUCUGCCUCUUCCUCCCCCUCCUCGUCCACGUCCUCGGGCCUCUCCUCGCCGGCGCACACGCCCAAGUGGCCCAAGUGCCUGUGGCAGAGCCGCCGCACCGACCGCGCGCGCAAGUCGCUGCCGGGCCUCGUCCUCGCCAUCUAA
rnacentral:rRNA from 1 species